rnacentral:rRNA from 1 species
AAGACCUUGCGCUUUUGGAGCGGCCGAUGCCUGAUUAGCUUGUUGGUAAGGUAAAAGCUUACCAAGGCUUCGAUCAGUAGCUGGUCUGAGAGGACGACCAGCCACACUGGGACUGAGACACGGCCCAGACUCCUACGGGAGGCAGCAGUGGGGAAUUUUGGACAAUGGGGGCAACCCUGAUCCAGCCAUGCCGCGUGAGUGAAGAAGGCCUUCGGGUUGUAAAGCUCUUUCAGCCGGAACGAAACGGUUACGGUUAAUACCCGUAACUAAUGACGGUACCGGAAGAAGAAGCACCGGCUAACUACGUGCCAGCAGCCGCGGUAAUACGGAGGGUGCGAGCGUUAAUCGGAAUUACUGGGCGUAAAGCGUGCGCAGGUGGUUUUGUAAGUCAGAUGUGAAAGCCCCGGGCUCAACCUGGGAACU